AUGGGGUAUUAUUAGUUAUGUUCUUGAAACCCAAAGGAUUUGGCGGUAUUUUAUUCAGAGGAAUCUGUUCCAUUAUGAUACCACGAAUUAACUUUUUUGUUUCAGUUUGUAUACCUCCGUCAUAGAAUAUCUUUUUAGAGAAUUUUCUUUAUAAAGUAUAAUAUGUCAGGUCAAGGUGCAACUAAUAAUAAGAAAUGGAUUACAAUAUAUUUAUAUGGAUUGUUUAUAUGAAGGUGGAUUUGAUAGUAAAUAUUAUCAUUGUGAUUUUAGCUCUAAAAUAUGCACACAUCGCCCGUCGCUCUUUAUAAAAUGAGAUAAGUCGUAACAUAGUAGGUAUGGAAGAUGUCUAGAA
rnacentral:rRNA from 1 species